rnacentral:lncRNA from 1 species
GUGCACCUGCAGGGUGUGUUCCCGGCCGCAGCCCCGCGCCAGCUGCAGCUCCUUGAUCGAGCCGGAUCCUGAGCCGGGAACACGGGCUGAAGCGGCGCGGGGCGCCCCGCCCGGGGCUCCAUUGUUGAGGCUGCCGUGGCUCUGUCGGCUGCUCAGCUGCGCUCCAGUCGGCCCCAGGCGCCGCGGCGAGGAGCUAGCGCUGCGAGGCGGCGGCUGAGGGUUCAAGACUGUCAGAGCUGGGAGCCACCUUCACAACUACCAGGGUUUCCGGAACCUCCUUCAUCUAGCCCUGGGGAUGGAAGAGAUGUCAUCAGAGAGACGGGAUUUCACCAUGUUUCCCAGGCUGAUCUCAAAGUCCUGGACUCAAGCGAUCCCCCCACCUCGGCCUCCCACAGUGCUGGGAUGACAGGCGUGAGCCACCGCGCUGGCCCGGGCUGUUCAUUUGUUUGCAUUCUUCUCAAAUUAGUUUUGAGUUUCCCUGAUGGUCUCUUUGACUCACUGGUUGUUUAGGAGUGUGUAAUUUCCACAUAUUUUUGAAUUUCUCACAUUUCCUUCACUGUUGAUUUCCAGCUUCGUGCCAGUACAGCUGAAGAACACCUCUGCUUCGGUCUCAGUCCUUCUCCAUUCACUGCGGCUCAUUUUGUGGCCUGGCGCAUGGUCUGUCAUGGGGAAUGUCCCCUGGGUGCGCGAGAGGACUGUGUAUUCAGCUGUUGUUGGGUGGCGUGUGUAACAGAUGUCCAUUCGGCGUACCUGGUUUCCUGUGUUAAUCUCCGGAAUGUUUCUGGCACUAGAAAAUCAGAAGCUUUCCACUGUUCCCAGCGCCCUGGCUUUGGGAGAGGCCAGUGAG